AACGAACGCUGGCGGCAUGCCUAACACAUGCAAGUCGAACGAGACCUUCGGGUCUAGUCGCGCACGGGUGCGUAACGCGUGGGAACCUGCCCUUAGGUUCGGAAUAACUCCCCGAAAGGGGUGCUAAUACCGGAUAAUGUCUUCGGACCAAAGAUUUAUCGCCUUUGGAUGGGCCCGCGUUGGAUUAGCUAGUUGGUAGGGUAAAAGCCUACCAAGGCGACGAUCCAUAGCUGGUCUGAGAGGAUGAUCAGCCACACUGGGACUGAGACACGGCCCAGACUCCUACGGGAGGCAGCAGUGGGGAAUAUUGGACAAUGGGCGAAAGCCUGAUCCAGCAAUGCCGCGUGAGUGAUGAAGGCCUUAGGGUUGUAAAGCUCUUUUACCCGGGAUGAUAAUGACAGUACCGGGAGAAUAAGCUCCGGCUAACUCCGUG
rnacentral:rRNA from 1 species